GAGAUCCGAGGGAUCGUCCUCUGUUGACCGUGCUCUCACAAACGUGUGCUCACGAACUGCGGUUUCGAAAGUUGCCGGUUGGCGUUCUGCUGCGUAGCUGCAUCUUUGUAUCUUCGUCUCGGCUUCAGGCAGAAUGAAGAAAAACGUACAAGUGCAAGAAAUGGGCCGCUCCACGCCUGCAGCCUGUGUGGAACACCAGGGCAACCAUAUGAAUAUUAACAGCUAUUUAUUUCCUUGCUACGAUCCUGAGUGAAGGGUGACAUUCGAGACGUUUCAUACACCUUCAGACCACUUCCAGAGAAAACACUGUCAAAAAAGAAAGCGUCCGUCAGUGAAUAUAUUUCCUGGGCACCAAACAGUCUACGAAAUACAUGAGAGUCGAAGAGGAGCCAUGUGAGUGGAUCAGCAGCAAGGACGCUCUCUUUGUUCAUAAAACGAAAAGACUUCAAAGCAAUGAAGUUGGUUCUUACCUAGAUCGUACUUGUUGUGCUCACCAUCGUGAACGGGUGCAGGAAAACACAGAAAUGUAGCGACAAAUUUAUGAGCAGCACACUCAGUGCAGGUAGCUGAUGGCAACACAAGACAUUUCCUGCUAUUGUGAGCUGGCAGUGAGAACAUAUUAAGUAACUGUCUUAAAAAUUAUCAUCAGAAAUGUAGAGGAGUCGUGGUUGUUGUCGUGAGCUGAGCUGUGAGCUGUCGUUCUGAGUAUUCUGUCAUUGGUAUGUCUGGGCUUUCCAUUGCACUCGUUCGCCAUGCUGAUAAGCUGCAUGCACUAUAUUGUACUACCACUUUUGUGAUAUGCAGGAUGGCAGAGCAACAUGUUAUAUAAACAUUAUUGUGAUUGUUAUGUAUUUUAAAAGAUAAGGAAUUGCAUGAGGUAGCAAGAACUGUCUCAGCAGAAACGUGAAGAAACUGCUGCAGCUACAUACAGGAUGUCACAGUACCUAUGUUAAAGAUUUGUAACGAAGGCAUGCGGCCAAGAGUAUUUCGCUCCAUUAUGUCCCCACGGCCUUAUGUAGUGGGCUUCAUUUCUUAUGAGCUUUAUCAUGAUGAUCUUUGAGCAAGCAGCUCAGUAAGUUACCCAGUCAAGGCCACUUAAGGCCCUGUGCCAUGGAUCGAAAAAGAAAUCCUGAUGAAAUUACUCGACGUUGACUCAGGCAUAUCGAUCAUCACAAGCUUCGCAGAUAAAAAAAAAGACUGAAAAACUACAUGUUCCCCGUCUGACCUAUUGAGCAUGGUUUUGCUCCCCAUGCGACAAGAGGAGGUUCGCAAGCUGAGCCAAAGCAACUGCAGGAGCAGAGAACAACAGCAACAAAAUGUAAAGGAGAGAGGGUAAGAUGGGGGGUGUAAUUGGCGACAGAUAUAUUUGAUGCAGAUCAGCAUGCAGCAACCCUCUUAUCUGUGAUGCUGCCCUGCAAACUUUUUUAUAACCACCAGAUGUGUGCCCGUUACUCGAAAAAAGUAAUUGAUUACCGUUACCGUUACUUCUGUGGAAAAAGUAAUUGAUUACCAUUACCAAUUACUCGACUUCAAAUGUAAUUGAGUAACGAGUAGAAAAGUAACGCGUUACUUCGGUCGUUACUCUGCAUUCACGCAAAUUAUAACCGUCUUCCUGUGCCUCAGAAAAAAAGAAAAAAAAAAGGUUCAACAGCGGAACAGCUGAAAUAACAAGACAAACAAAAACACGUAGGACAAGGAGAUCUGUACGCCCGGGAAGACGUUGACCCGAUUGUGGAAGAACAUUGCGUGGUACUUCCCUAUGACUCACUAAACCCCCAAAGCUUCAGGUACCAUCACACUGGUGUAGCAAGAGAUUAGGGAGAGAGACUCUGAAAUUCCAGAGCGUUAUUACAAUGACCUCCGCUUGCUAUAGUAGAACGGCCCAACAAAGGCAGAUGGCACCAGGGGCUUGACUUGGGGCAGAACAUCUCAAAGAUAAGCUAAUCCCUGCCGGAAAAGUAAUCAAUUGCUGAGUAAUCGAUUACUCAGAAAAGUAAUUGAUUACUCGAAAAAUUACUUUGACAGUAAAGUAACUGAUUACUCGACAAAUUACUCAAAAAUGUAAUUGAUUACAAGUAACGCAAUUACUAGUAACGUGUUACGCACAAGUCUGGUUAUUAACCACUUUCCCCCCUAGGUUUGUGUAGAGUUACUCACAACCCCUCUCUAAGCACGGAUGGAGUGAAGGCAUGCUGAAUUCCCUAUGUACGGAACUGUAGAGGUGCCACAAGGCAUCAUUUUCUGGGUAUCUUUGUCACUGUACUUGGUUCAUGAAUUACGAUCAGACUCGUGACAAAAUGGAGUAAUGUUUAGAUGGGCUUCUCUUUGGUGCCAUGCAAAUGUAGUCUUAACUAGGGAAAUUUCGUUUUUGAUAAAUCGUGUGAUGAUAAACUUCAGAACAAAUUAAUCCUUUAAUUUAAUCCAAAUAAUUAAAAUUAAUCCAAAAUGCGAUCAAAUACGAAUGACUGCAUGUGUCUACCUAGCGACUUUUCUUGUUGUUUUCUGAUAUGGGUGCCUGCCAUCUUACAGUGUUGCAGCUUUUUCUUCAUGUUUAUGCCGUGGCCAUUUUACAAUAUCUUUCCUUAUCGUUUAAGACGGGUAACAGUAUCAAAAAUUAGGCUUCUGCAUUGCCUUUGUGGUUUUGUU